GGACUUCUUCAGCGGCUGUCCUCCCUCGCUUUUGGAGCUCCGACCUCAGCUUCGCCUGCGAGCUGGGUUGUGUAAAGGCUGGUCAUUUUGGGGCGCUUAGGGGUGGGUGCCGGGGGGCGCGCUUUCCCUCGUGAAGGUCGCUCCAGGAGUCAUGCGUACAUUCGUUCAUUUUGCUCUGGACGCACUGAUGUUCCCGGCUCGCCGCCGUGCCGCAGUCACGAGGCUCUCCGAACGCCUUUCACUGUGUUUCUGUUUACAUUCGCGUCUGCAAGACCCGGCGGCGCGACCGAGGCCCGAACAGAUGGGGUCUUGCUGUGUUGCCCAGGCUGGGCUUGAACUCCUGGACUCAGACGAUCCUCCCGCCUCGGCCUCCCAAAGUGCUGGAAUUACAGAUGGAGAUGGGCUGCCAUGUUGUGAGCUGCCCCAUGGGGAAGAGGCUCACAUGUGAGGAACUGAGGGAGGCCUCCAGAAAACAGCCAGUGAAGAACUGAGACCCUCAGUCCAAUAGCCUAUGAGGAACUGAAUCCUGCUGACAACCAUAUGAAUGAGCUUGGAAGCAGAUCCUUCCCCAGUGAAGCCUUCAUGUGAGACUGCAGCCCACUUGACACUUUGAUUUGUAGCUUGUGACAGACCCCAAGCCAGAAGAGUCAGGUAAGCAGUGCCUGCACUCCUGACCCAUGGCAACUGGCAUGAUAAAUGUUUUUUCCCAUGAAGCUAUGUUUUAGAGUAAUUUGUUUUGCAGCAAUAGAUAACUAAUUCACUAGGUAAAGGUUAUAUCCAUUGUAAUCUUUCAACUUUUCUGUAGAUUUGCAGUUUUAUGUGCUGACAGGUGAACACACUGCUGUUGGCACCAUGGCCA
rnacentral:lncRNA from 1 species